rnacentral:rRNA from 2 species
UGAGAAAACUUUGCAAUGUGCGAAAGCACGACAAGGUUAAUCCGAGUGGUUUCUGCUAAAGGAACCUUUUGUCGGUCCUAGAAACACCGAUGAAUAAGGGGUGGGCAAGUUCUGGUGUCAGCCGCCGCGGUAAAACCAGCACCUCAAGUGGUCAGGAGGAUUAUUGGGCCUAAAGCAUCCGUAGCCUGCUCUGUAAGUUUCCGGUUAAAUCCAUUAGCUCAACUGAUGGGCCGCCGGAAAAACUGCAAAGCUAGGGAGUGGGAGAGGUAGACGGUACUCGGUAGGAAGGGGUAAAAUCCUUUGAUCUAUUGAUGACCACCUGUGGCGAAGGCGGUCUACCAGGAACACGUUCGACGGUGAGGGAUGAAAGCUGGGGGAGCAAACCGGAUUAGAUACCCGGGUAGUCCCAGCUGUAAACGAUGCAGACUCGGUGAUGCCCUGGCUUGUGGCCAGUGCAGUGCCGC